AUUGAACGCUGGCGGCAGGCCUAACACAUGCACGUCGAACGAGUGGCGGACGUGUGAGUAAUGUCUGGGAAACUGCCUGAUGGAGGGGGAUAACUACUGGAAACGGUAGCUCAUACCGCAUACCAUCGGAUGAGCCCAGAUGGGAUUAGCGAGUAGGUGGGGUAAAGGCUCACCUAGGCGACGAUCCCUAGCUGGUCUGAGAGGAUGACCAGACAAACUGUAACUGAGACACGUUCGAGCAUGCUACGUGUGGAAGCAGUGGGGAAUAUGGCACAAGGGGCGAAAGCCUGAUGCAGUCAUGCCGCGUGUAUGAAGAAGGCCUUCGGGUUGGAAAGUACUUUCAGCGGGUAGGCGUUACCAGCAGAAGAAGCACCGGCUAACUCCGUGCCAGCAGCCGCGGUAAUUC
rnacentral:rRNA from 1 species